rnacentral:piRNA from 1 species
GUUGUAUUCAUCAAGACUGAGGA